AUUGAACGCUGGCGGCAGGCUCAACACAUGCAAGUCGAGCGGGGGAAGGUAGCUUGCUACCGGACCUAGCGGCGGACGGGUGAGUAAUGCUUAGGAAUCUGCCUAUUAGUGGGGGACAACAACUCGAAAGGGAUGCUAAUACCGCAUACGUCCUACGGGAGAAAGCCGGGGAUAUUCGGACCUUGCGCUAAUAGAUGAGCCUAAGUCGGAUUAGCUAGUUGGUGGGGUAAAGGCCUACCAAGGCGACGAUCUGUAGCGGGUCUGAGAGGAUGAUCCGCCACACUGGGACUGAGACACGGCCCAGACUCCUACGGGAGGCAGCAGUGGGGAAUAUUGGACAAUGGGGGGAACCCUGAUCCAGCCAUGCCGCGUGUGUGAAGAAGGCCUUAUGGUUGUAAAGCACUUUAAGCGAGGAGGAGGCUACUUUAGUUAAUACCUAGAGAUAGUGGACGUUACUCGCAGAAUAAGCACCGGCUAACUCUGUGCCAGCCGCCGCGGUAA
rnacentral:rRNA from 1 species